ACAUCGGUCGUCCAGCGGUAGGACUAUGGUCUCCAAAACCAUCAACGGAGGUUCGAAUCCUUCCCUUUGUGCAA
rnacentral:tRNA from 1 species